rnacentral:rRNA from 1 species
GCUUGUCUCAAAGAUUAAGCCAUGCAUGUCUCAGUAUAAGUUCCUGUACGGCGAAACUGCGAAUGGCUCAUUAAAACAGUUAUAGUUUAUUUGAUGGUCGUUCCUUACAUGGAUAACUGUGGUAAUUCUAGAGCUAAUACAUGCGAAAAGACGGGCCGCAAGGCUUGUUGUAUUUAUUAGAUAAAAAAUCAAUACCUGUUCUGCAGGUCCUAUUGGUGAGUCAUAAUAACUGUUCGAAUCGCAUGCUUCGGCAGGCGAUAGUUCAUUCAAAUUUCUGCCCUAUCAGCUUUCGACGGUAGUGUAGUGGACUACCGUGGCGUUAACGGGUAACGGAGAAUUAGGGUUCGAUUCCGGAGAGGGAGCCUGAGAAAUGGCUACCACAUCCAAGGAAGGCAGCAGG